rnacentral:rRNA from 1 species
UACGAAGGGGGCUAGCGUUGCUCGGAAUUACUGGGCGUAAAGCGCACGUAGGCGGCUUCUUAAGUCGGUGGUGAAAUCCUGGAGCUCAACUCCAGAACUGCCUUCGAUACUGGGAAGCUCGAGUCCGGGAGAGGUGAGUGGAACUGCGAGUGUAGAGGUGAAAUUCGUAGAUAUUCGCAAGAACACCAGUGGCGAAGGCGGCUCACGGGCCCGGUACUGACGCUGAGGUGCGAAAGCGUGGGGAGCAAACAGG